rnacentral:rRNA from 1 species
AGAGUUUGAUCAUGGCUCAGAUUGAACGCUGGCGGCAUGCCUAACACAUGCAAGUCGAACGGUAACAGGCGGAGCUUGCUCUGCGCUGACGAGUGGCGGACGGGUGAGUAAUGCUUAGGAAUCUGCCCAGUAGCGGGGGACAACAGUCGGAAACGGUUGCUAAUACCGCAUACGCCCUACGGGGGAAAGCAGGGGAUCUUCGGACCUUGCACUAUUGGAUGAGCCUAAGUCAGAUUAGCUUGUUGGUGGGGUAAAAGCCUACCAAGGCGACGAUCUGUAGCCGGUCUGAGAGGACGAUCAGCCACACUGGAACUGAGACACGGUCCAGACUCCUACGGGAGGCAGCAGUGGGGAAUAUUGCACAAUGGGCGCAAGCCUGAUGCAGCAAUGCCGCGUGUGUGAAGAAGGCCUGCGGGUUGUAAAGCACUUUCAGUAAGGAGGAAAAUCUCAAGGUUAAUACCCUCGAGGCUUGACGUUACUUACAGAAGAAGCACCGGCUAACUCCGUGCCAGCAGCCGCGGUAAUACGGAGGGUGCGAGCGUUAAUCGGAAUUACUGGGCGUAAAGGGUGCGUAGGCAGCAUGGUCAGUCGGAUGUGAAAGCCCCGGGCUCAACCUGGGAAUUGCAUUCGAUACUGCCAAGCUAGAGUAUGUUAGAGGAAAGUGGAAUUCCCGGUGUAGCGG